rnacentral:rRNA from 1 species
UACGAAGGGGGCUAGCGUUGUUCGGAAUCACUGGGCGUAAAGGGCGCGUAGGCGGCCGAUCAAGUCGGGGGUGAAAGCCUGUGGCUCAACCACAGAAUUGCCUUCGAUACUGUUUGGCUUGAGACCGGAAGAGGUAAGUGGAACUGCGAGUGUAGAGGUGAAAUUCGUAGAUAUUCGCAAGAACACCGAUGGCGAAGGCACUUUACUGGGCUAUUACUAACACUGAGAGACGAAAGCUAGGGUAGCAAAUGGG